rnacentral:rRNA from 1 species
UACGUAGGGUCCGAGCGUUGUCCGGAAUUAUUGGGCGUAAAGAGCUCGUAGGCGGUCUGUUGCGUCGGCUGUGAAAACCCGGGGCUCAACUCCGGGCCUGCAGUCGAUACGGGCAGUCUAGAGUUCGGUAGGGGAGACUGGAAUUCCUGGUGUAGCGGUGAAAUGCGCAGAUAUCAGGAGGAACACCGGUGGCGAAGGCGGGUCUCUGGGCCGAAACUGACGCUGAGGAGCGAAAGCGUGGGGAGCGAACAGG